rnacentral:rRNA from 1 species
GACGAACGCUGGCGGCGUGCUUAACACAUGCAAGUCGAACGGAGUGGCGAACGGGUGAGUCACACGUGGGAGACCCGCCCCGCAUUUCGGGCCAAGCCUGGGAAACUGGGUCUAAUACCGGUUAGUGUGGGAUGGGCCCGCGGCCUAUCAGCUUGUUGGUGGGGUAAUGGCCUACCAAGGCGGCGACGGGUAGCCGGCCUGAGAGGGUGGACGGCCACAUUGGGCCUGAGAGACGGCCCAGACUCCUACGGGAGGCAGCAGUGGGGAAUAUUGAAGAAUGGGCGGAACCCUGAUGCAGCCACGCCGCGUGGGGGAGGACGGCCUUUGGGUUGUAAACUCCUUUCACCAUCGGCGCGGUAGAUGGAGAAGAAGCACCGGGUAACAACGUGCCAGCCGCCGCGGUAAUUC